UUCCCCGCCUUUCAAUAAGCUUCACGUGCAGAGCGAAAACCGACCUUGCCCCACCCCAGCAGCAGCCGGGAUCCGCUGGGAUUGAUUGGGAUGGAUGGUGGGGAUCCACUGGGAUCCACUGGGAUCACUGGGAUCGAUGAGAGUGAGUGGGAUGGGUGGUGGGGAUCCACAGGCACCAUUGGGAUCCACUGGGAUGGAGGGUGGGGAUCCACAGGGACCACUGGGAUCCACUGGAAGUGACUGGGAUGGAUGGUGGGGAUCCAUGGGGAUCCACUGGGAGUGACUGGGAUGGUUGGUGGGGAUCCACAGGGACCAUUGGGAUCCACUGGGAGUGACUGGGAUGGAUGGUGGGGAUCCACUGGGAUCCACUGGGAUCAAUGAGAUUGACUGGGAUGGAUGGUGGGGAUCCACUGGGAUCACUGGGAUCCACUGGGAGUGACUGGGAUGGAUGGUGGGGAUCACUGGGAUCCACGGGGAUCACUGGGAUGGAGGGUGGGGAUCACUGGGAUCCCUGGGGAUCACUGGGAUCCAUGGGGAUCCCUGGGACGGAGGGUGGGGAUCCACAGGGAUCACUGGGAUGGAGGGUGGGGAUCCACGGGGAUCACUGGGAUCCACUGGGACGGAUGAUGGGGAUCCACAGGGAUCCACAGGGAUCAUGGGGAUCCCUGGGACGGAGGGUGGGGAUGUCCCCCACGGUCCCGGGGAGGAGCCGCGUCCUCGUGGCCUCGCUCCGUCACCUGCAACACAGAGAGGCGGCCCAGCUGAGUGCCCGGC
rnacentral:lncRNA from 1 species